rnacentral:rRNA from 1 species
GACGAACGCUGGCGGCGUGCUUAACACAUGCAAGUCGAACGAGAGCGUAGAGAAAGCUUGCUUUUUUUACAAUCUAGUGGCAAACGGGUGAGUAACGCGUAAACAACCUGCCCUACGGAUGGGGACAACAGCUGGAAACGGCUGCUAAUACCGAAUACGUUCCGAAAGUUGCAUGACUGUCGGAAGAAAGGAUGGCCUCUAUUUAUAAGCUAUCGCCGGAGGAGGGGUUUGCGUCUGAUUAGCUAGUUGGAGGGGUAACGGCCCACCAAGGCGACGAUCAGUAGCCGGUCUGAGAGGAUGAUACGGCCACAUUGGAACUGAGACACGGUCCAGACUCCUACGGGAGGCAGCAGUGGGGAAUCUUCCGCAAUGGGCGAAAGCCUGACGGAGCAACGCCGCGUGAGUGAAGACGGCCUUCGGGUUGUAAAGCUCUGUUAUACGGGACGAAUAAUCUUGUGGUUAAUACCCAUGAGAAGUGACGGA